CCUACGGGAGGCAGCAGUGGGGAAUUUUGGACAAUGGGCGCAAGCCUGAUCCAGCAAUGCCGCGUGAGUGAAGAAGGCCUUCGGGUUGUAAAGCUCUUUUGUCAGGGAAGAAAAGGUUACGAAUAAUACUCGUGGCUCAUGACGGUACCUGAAGAAUAAGCACCGGCUAACUACGUGCCAGCAGCCGCGGUAAUACGUAGGGUGCAAGCGUUAAUCGGAAUUACUGGGCGUAAAGCGUGCGCAGGCGGUUUUGUAAGUCUGUUGUGAAAUCCCCGGGCUCAACCUGGGAAUGGCAAUGGAGACUGCAAGGCUAAAGUUUGGCAGAGGGGGGUAGAAUUCCACGUGUAGCAGUGAAAUGCGUAGACAUGUGGAGGAACACCGAUGGCGAAGGCAGCCCCCUGGGUCAAAACUGACGCUCAUGCACGAAAGCGUGGGGAGCAAACAGGAUUAGAUACCCUGGUAGUCCACGCCCUAAACGAUGUCUACUAGUUGUCGGGUCUUAAUUGACUUGGUAACGCAGCUAACGCGUGAAGUAGACCGCCUGGGGAGUACGGUCGCAAGAUUAAAACUCAAAGGAAUUGACGG
rnacentral:rRNA from 1 species